AAGCAGAAAAUGAUUGAAGUUAGAAAGACAUGCCUCUUUUAGGGAAAAGUUGGAUGUCUUAAUUUCUACUUUCACAUUUUGUUGGGUGUGAUCAAGCCCAGCAUCUCCAAAUCCUUUUCCUUCCAGAAGUCACUUGGAAGGCAGAAGGAAGAUAGUGGAUUAGAGUGUGUAUGUGAGCCAGCGGUGGGUUGAAUAGUGCCACAACUACACCAGAACCGCCGCAGGAAGUAGGGUGUUUAUGAUCCACUAUCGCUUGUUAUUUCUCAUCAGGCGUAAUAUGUUUAUUGAGGACGGAGCUUGUUACCAGUGCUGCUGACAUCCUAUUUCAAACCUCCCCACAACCCUGAUGAAUCACCAAGACUUUUCUCAAUUGUUGAUCCACCCAUCAGGCUGAACACAAAAGGGAAUCCUUGUUAUGACUCCAUGAUUUGAGGCGCCAUUAUAAAUCUGUGUUGUUGACUCCUAUGCAGAUGUGGAUGCUGUGUAUCCUUGUAGCUAAAACACCAGGAAUUUAAAGAACUUUGAAAUAUUUGUAAGCUUUUUUUUAGCUCUAUUUAGCUACAUUUCUAUCUAGCCAAGAUAUUUGGUACUUCUCUAAAUCCAUGGUGGCUUUUAGCAGACGCCAAGAAUAGGAAAAGGUCAAUCAUACAAAAUGCCAGUUAAGAAACUUGCUCAGGGCAGCUUGUAUUUAUUAGAAUAAUCAGGAUAUCGGUCGGACAUUAUCCAUUCUUCAGAGGACAACUAGCUUCCCCGUGUCAACAAGAACCCAGUUUGUACCGCGGUCGUUUCCCUGGGAUGCAGAGGGGCGCCGUCAGGGCGCCGUCAGUGGCACCCACUUCUACGUAGACUUACUGUAGAGAAUAGUGAUCAGGGCGAUGGGCAUCACCAGCAGUCCCACCAGCAGGUCCGCCACCGCCAGAGACAUCAGGAAGUAGUUGGUGGCGUUCUGCAGCUUCUUCUCUAGCGACACGGCGAGGAUGACCAGGAUGUUGCCACCGAUGGUGGGCACGAUGACCAUGAGGAUGAGCAGCGCGGCCCACUGGAGUCGGACCCCCGGGCCCUCGCCGGGCUCCGUGGCGUUCUGCUCCAGGGAAGCCGCCGCCGGCCGGGACAUGGUGCGGCUACGGCGGUGGGGACUGGCCUCGGCGCUGGUCGGGGCUCUGCUCUGGCUGGCCCCGGAGGCUCGGUCAGCAUGGUUCGUUCGGCCCCCACGUGCCGAGUCCCGCGGCAGGGUGGGACGGGUCACUGCCAGGCGUCGGGAGAAGAGCCGUCGGCCAGUGCCCAGUGUGGAAAAACCGGUACGGCCUCGCAACGAGGUUAAGAUCCGAGCGCUCCGAGCGAACCAAAUCCAAGGAUAAACGAUAGAUUCACCGCGGGUACGUCCAAAAAGCUUCUCAUUCCAGGGCUGUCGGUACUGCUCAUCCCCUCGCGACGCCUUCUACGAACUCUGUUAAAGAAACAAUAACUGCAGUGUUAUCCUAUUUUUGCGUUUUAUCUGAGCCUAAUUACCAGUGACACUUAUGGUAACAAAUGGGAAGGGUCGUUCCUGUACGCUCGUUAUUCCUUCCUGACCCACCAUGGCUCGGUCAUUACACAAGGAAGUGGCAAUCGGUUUUAACUUUAUCCCGCAUUACGGGUUAAGGGUUAUUAUGCAAACAUUAACUUUGAUUAACAUUUACUUUAAAAAACUGAAGUGCUUUCAGGCUUCAGGAUGUGUGACACCAUAACAAAAAAUGGCUGGAAAGAAUGAUGUGCGUUGAUUGAUAAAAAAUCCAAACGAAAGGAUGAAAGUCUUCUACAGGCAAUCAGGAAUUCCCAUCUCCUUGUUUAUCCAAGAAGGUAUUGGUGGAACAAUUAAUUUAUCAUCUUUGAAAUGUCAUGCUUUGUAAAAAGGAACAAUCCUUACCUGUUCUUUAAGAAUCUCAGUUUUAUUUCUGUUGUACGACACAAAAAACCUGUCAAGAAAUUUCGGUACCUCCCAAAUUAUUUUGACCUGGCUCACCAGGUAUUUUGGUCUCGCCUCGCUACCACCUUUUCAGUUCACAAUUUUACAUUCAAACGAUUCCCAAAGUGGUAUGACUUAAUUUUACGCUCUCCCCGGCAGCAGUCAGUGCUCUCCCACUCUGAGGCUUUCCAUGAGGGGGAAGUUCCUUUUUGUUCCACCGCGAUGGAAGAAUCCAAAGUCCUGAGUCUCAUCACCUACAACAUCCACAGCGUUUGACCAUUCCGACGUUUCCCAGUUUCUCUCUCUAUCGCCCUAGUCCCCUCUCGCUUUCUAUCUCUGCUUACCGCCUUUUAGUAGGAGUCUGAUCAGCUUGUGCGCUUCCAUCUCACUGGCUCAAACACCCUCCCUCUCUUCCUCUCUCUCUCUCUCUCUCUCUCUCUCUCUCUCUCUCUCUCUCUCUCUCUCUCUCUCUCUCUCUCUCUCUCUCUCUCUCUCUCUCUCUCUCUCUCUCUCUCUCUCUCUCUCUCUCUCUCUCUCUCUCUCUCUCUCUCUCUCUCUCUCUCUCUCUCUCUCUCUCUCUCUCUCUCUCUCUCUCUCUCUCUCUCUCUCUCUCUCUCUCUCUCUCUCUCUCUCUCCCUCCCCCCCCCCCCAUAGUGUUGUCCAUGUGUUAGGCUUAGCAGAAAACAGAUGAAUGUCUUUGUGCUGGCCCAAUGCCAGCGGUUCUGGGAGGUAAUUUCCUUCAACACAGCCGCCCUUCUGUUUAUAUUUGUCACUUUCUGUACUCUCGUCCACUGGAGUAAAUUGCGCGUGUGCUUAGUUUCUCGUGUGUGCGACGGUGGGGACUAGGAUUCAUGGGGUGCAAACUCAGCAAUUUAUAUAUGUUUACAUGUCAUCUUAUAUCGCCUACCUAGAUCCUAAAGCUGUGCAAGGCAUUGCUGUGUAUUUGAUCAUUGGUACUACUGCGGUGGUGUUUGAAACAUGAGCCUGCUUUCACAGUCCAGGCCUCUACAGCAGUCAUAAUUGUUGUGUUCUUUCCACUGUGCGACUGCAAUGCCGCUUCUAAAGUUGACACAUGUCAAAGCAGAGUAGCAUAUUUUCUGUAGUCUACUUUAUUUGUACAUUUAUUUUCCUAACGGCAAAGCAAACCAACUCUACUCAAAUAUUGUAGCCUUUCCCUGUCUUGGACAAGUGUGGCACACAAACUUGGUAUUACCAGGACACGUCUGUCUUGAACUCAAUUCCAGGUGAAACUACCCACAUAAAGGAAAGUGACGUUUUUUCCACUUCCUUUUCCCCCCUGGCCGUGAAUUGGUCUUGCCUUUCAAACGACUUGCCUGCCUACUGAGGGAUGGUAUGGCUCUAAUGUGAGUCUGCUGCUGUUGGGCACUACGGCGAUUGAGCUGAGUUGAAUAGAUUUUUGCAAUUUUAAAUGCAGGGCCAUGCAUGUUUUCCUUCUUUCCACUUUACAGAUAUGGACACUUUUUGACAGUUUUUCUUUGCAGUAAAAGUUUGCACUUUCUUUUUGUUUUCUAGGCUAAGCAAUUUACCAUUGAAUGACAUUUAUUCUGAAUUUACAUUUAUUUGAAAUUUAUCACAAUUCCAUAGUGGCCCUUCUGGGUUGUUUUUCUUGGGACUUUUUGAAUUUCUAGUCCCAGCUGUGUCUAGGGAGAAAAGUUUGAGAACUCGAGUUUUAAUUUCUGAGAUGCAAGGAAUUGCAGAAGGAGCACUGAGCUGACACAUGUUCUGACUUUGAACCUCUUAAAUUAACCAUUUGAUUUGAUAUUGGACAUUGAUAAGAUGGACAUUGCUGACUGUGAAUGGAUAGUUGGCCAUUUGUACAUAUCUUUUUUACACUUAGUGACAGCUCUCUUGCUUGUAACAUUAGCCAUUUCAGGGGUUGGACUGUUGAUAAUGUCAUUCUGUCUCUGGUUCUUGUUGGUAGAUUUAAUUUCAUUUUAAUGGCGUGAUAACAAAUGAUGCCCGGCAAUCUCUUUGCUCGUGUCCUGCUCCUCUUCAUUGUCCAUUAAGGCGUCUAUGUAAUGAACAGGAAACAGGAUAAUUAAAUCUGAUCUUCGGGUGCCAAAAUGUAUAAUUUGUUUAGAUUUGUCCACUUCCUGUUAUGUGUUCAUUGGCUAGCAGGUCAGUGACCUGUCUAAUUUAUUAAUAGCAAUGGAUAUCAAUCUCUGGGAGCAGCUAGUGCAUUAUGAUUGUUUCUUGGCUCCCUUACUAGUUUAUUUAAAUAACUUUGGUUUAGGAAUUAUGUAUUGAAUUUCAUGAUGCAAGCUUUUUACUGCUGCCUUCACCUUUUUUGAAAAAUAAGUAUUUAGGUUUUAUAGUGCAUCCACUGAUUCGGAUCGCUAGGUGGUCUAAAAGGUAAUGGCCCUUCACUUAACUUUAUUUAUUUUACUUUAUUUAAGUAACCUAACUUGAGUUCCUAACCUAACUUGGCUCCCCUCCAAGAUUUUUUUGGUGUUUUCUCCCAAGAAAUGUCUUUUUAUAGGUCCCUAGGUCGACGCUUUGUUGUUCUCAUCAGUGCUCUUAAAUAAUUAGAAACUGAGAACCGUAGAACCAAACUGAUGGCUGCCACAUGGUGCAAGGCCAAACUGUCCUGCUCUACAUGCGUAUGCCUGUUCUGUGGACAUUGAUAUCUUUCCCAGGAUGGGCGUGUGGGCUUUACCUGACUAGAAUAGCACCUUGUUACCUUCCUGAUGUAAUUGGGAGAUUAUCUAUAUAUCCCUGAUUGAUUGCCAUUUGUGAAAUUAAGUCCCCUUCCAGUAGAGGGGCUUAGUCUAAACAAGGCAGUAGUAGUGAUGCCUGGCAACAUGACCACGCACCAACUCAAAACACUGAAUCACACACCUCAGGUGGAUUAGUUAGUUAAUUACUUUCAACCUUCCGGACUUUAUUGAGACUAAAUUGGCAUUAGGACAAUCCCCAUGAGCUAGUAUCCGUUUAAGUCCGGUCAAUGAAUGCCAAUGAAGGUGUUUGAACUACCUUCAUUGUCCUGCUUCUGUUUAUGUUGUGGCAGUUUAGGAAACAUCAUUGGAUAUUAAAUGGAGGCAGAUUAAUGGUGAUUUAAUUUGAUGCUAUUUAUUGAGAUGCAAUUUGUACAUGGUUGUUGGAUAUCGCAUUGUACCACAUUUUUAUUAUAUUAGUCUUUUAUUUGAAUUUGAGACAGGGAAAUGUUAUUCAGUCAACAACUUGUAGUUUGCAUGUGGUUGAUUAUUUCACAAAUAAGUAAGCCUUUACUGUGUUGAGAUGUGGGACUAGCUUAGCCAGUGAAUUUAUCAGCCGUGUGUGGUCUUUCCUCCAUAUCAAUGGGCUUGUAUUUUCAGAGGGGGACCUUUAGCCCUCUGCAGCAGAGCAUCCCCCUUCUCGUAGAGGAGGUACUACUUUGACGUUUUUGUGAGCUUUGAACAGAUCUGUGGAGAGAGAUUUGUAACAUUGAAUCUGCAAGUUGAAAACCUUCUUAUUGUGCAAUUGGUUUAUCACCUUCCAGGUCCUGUUGGACUACUUCAGAUAACAUUUCAAUGCAAUGACAAUAAAGCUUGUAUUCGAUAAUUGACGUUAACCCUAUCCCAGAAAUCUGAAAGCUUGAAGAGCAAUAACCGGGAAAAUGAGUAAUGAUGAAUAAUCUCCCCAAAUUGCCCAUCUGUUUGGCUGUGGCUUGGUUGUUUUUGGUUCUGAACUGCACAGAAAAUGAAUCAUUAACGGUGCAUAAAGCACUGAACUUCUUAUUAUGCCUAACUUGAUUUUACAGUAAUGACAUUUGCUGGAGGCCCAUUUAUUGUAAAUUGACGUCAAGUUUGUUGAUUAAAGAACCUAGUACUUUUGCAUUGAAACCUGACGUUGAUACAGUUGAGGAAUCGGUGCAUUGGAAAGAAAAUAUGCCUAUAUGAAAAACGGAGCUUUUUUAACCGUGAAGAAUCAAGCCUGAAUCAUCAAUUUGGAUUCAGCCUCACUUGGAGCAUGACCCAUGUAGCCAUGUUCAUACCAUCAGAAAAAAAAGCUUUCCGUCAAGAAUAUAUCUUGAUAAGACACUCGCACUUUCCGUCAAUAGGCAAUGAAAUAAGGAUUUAUUCAAGUGGUGAAAAAAAGGAUUAAUGGAAUUGUAUUAUAUGCCAUGCAAUUAAUUGGAUGACUUGUAAUAGCAUAUAAUUCUAUCCUAUUAAAGUGCAAGCCAAAUAUUUCACAAUUAUUUUUUUCAUUUUUGUCUUCACCUAUUUCAUGAAGGUGUCGGCAUGGAAGAAAACCAAGUAAAAGCUGUUGAUCAACUCCUACUCUAGCUUAUCACUACAUCUCUAUAGUGUCUCUCCUUCAUUCCUACUAUUGCUCUCAUUGUUUCGUCAUCUUUACUUUCAAAAUGUCCUUUGAUUUUCAAAUCUGCAAGUCGGAUGUUAACAGAUUUACCAUAUAACGUUGCUUACUUCUUACUGUAAAGAUUCUACAUGCAGUUCAAAAGCAACAGCGAAGACGUGUCCCCAUCAUAUUCUGAUGUCCUCUGCCUUUGUCUGAUGGCUCACACAGCUCCAUCAGGUCAUUAGAUAUGACGUAGCGUUGGUGGAUGUUAUUGAUGUGUCUGCACUGUCAUUUCAUUAACCGGCUGCUGAUCUGUCUGUCGGUGCUGUCGCAGACAGUAAUCACGUUUGUCCACAUUACCAAUUAAGACCACAUACCAUUUAUAAAAAAAAAAAUAAAAAAAAGA